AAUUAAGCCUCUUUGUUUUGAUCUUAUAAGUUUUUUUUUUCAUUUUCUUUUUAGAGUUGAAUUUUGUGUUGAGAUCUUGUACUUAGCUUGAAGUAGAAGGAAGAGGGCAGUUCCAAUUGAGUAACUCUUCAAUCAUUUGCAUUGCAAUUCUGUCUUCUUCAUCAAUUCCAUUCCCAUGGUCAUCAGCUUCCUGGCUUGUCAAUUCAGGCGACAGGGACGGGGACGGCAUCUCUUUCUUCCCUAGCUCAAUCCUCAUGACCCAAUUAGAGGUUGCUCGAGUGCCUGCACGCUUCUGCCAUACGCCGAUGUGAGCGUUGUCACUGUCGAGCCGCAGGCAUGUCAAUGAGGGAGAUGGAUUCUUGCAGCACUUUCUGAGCUUUGUGCUGAGUAGCUCUGAAAGUGCUUUUGGGGACAUUGAAGAAGAACCAUGGCCAUGGCUAGCUUCUUCAGAUUGGUCUUUAGAUGCAGGGAAAUUGGUCUUGGCGUUUUGGCCAUUCAUCAAAAUGGCUGCUUGAUCAUACGCUCGAGCUGCAUCCUCUGCUGUGUCAAAUGUCCCCAGCCACACCCUUCUCUUCAGCAGUGGGUGGCGAAUCUCUGACACCCAAGAGCCCCACUGCCGCUGCCUGACUCCUCUGAACUUCCUUGAAUAAACCAUAACUCUAGAGAGAGAUUCAGAGCCUGCUCAACCAUGAAAGAUCCACACAAAGACGCAGCUUCUUAACAACCAAAAUUAAAUGAUAGUCCUCCACAUUGCAAUUUCUCUUUCCCAUUCUGCAACUUUUCUUUUUUCUUCUUCCCUCUCCAAUGGCGGAUCGAAAUGGAAUGGAACUUCAAAUUUGUCUGCUACCCAAAGAGAAAGUAUCAUUAAAUUUUGCUUGA
rnacentral:misc_RNA from 1 species